UACGUAGGGGGCAAGCGUUGUCCGGAUUUAUUGGGCGUAAAGAGCUCGUAGGCGGUUGGGCAAGUCACGUGUGAAAUCUCCACGCUCAACGUGGAGGCGCCACGUGAGACUGCCCUGACUCGAGUCCGGUAGGGGAGCGUGGAAUUCCCGGUGUAGCGGUGAAAUGCGCAGAGAUCGGGAGGAACACCCGUAGCGAAGGCGGCGCUCUGGGCCGGUACUGACGCUGAGGUGCGAAAGCGUGGGGAGCAAACAGG
rnacentral:rRNA from 1 species